AAGGCACCAUUCUGGGGCAAGACUUGCUUCAGUGGGGCUUUGGUGCUCACUGAGUCUGCCCCCUAAAUGUGUCCUU
rfam:Myotis davidii contig188470, whole genome shotgun sequence.